GAAACUCAUCUAUUUAUGGCUCUAGCUACCCUUAAUCUUGUACAAUGACAAGCCUUUCUAACCGGUAGCUUGGUUGACCGAUUGCCAACUUCUACUCUUAAGAGAUUUUUCCCAAGGUUUCAAGGAGAAAACUUUGACAGAAACAAGAUCUUAUAUCUGAAAGUAAAGAAGAUGGCUGAGAAGCAUGGAUGUACCACUGCACAACUUGCACUUGCCUGGGUUCUUCAUCAAGGAGAUGAUGUAGUACCUAUUCCUGGUAAGUCCACAUUCUGUAAUUUUCAACAUCCACUUUCCCCUUCUUGAUAGCCCGCAGAUAUUUCAACCAACAAGGCCCUUUCUUUCUCAUUUUGUAGGAACAACAAAGACAAAAAAUCUUGAUGGCAACAUUGAUUCACUGAGGGUGAAGCUCACAGAAGAAGAUUUACAAGAGAUUUGUGAUGUGAUCCCCAUUAAUGAGGUAGGAGGCGCUCGUAUGCCGGAUGGUUUAAGUCAUCUGACGUGGAAGUUUGCUAACACACCACCAAAGGAUAGCAAGAUUUCAACUUAAAUUAAACUGAACGAUGGAUGCAAAAUCUGCAGCAGAAUAUGAUGUUUUUGGUGAAUGGACUCUCUCCAUCAACGGAAACUAUUGAAAGACUAGAAGUUUGUGUUGAUGAGUUAGUAAGCUUUGGAUACAAUAAUAAAGGGUUGUAGUUGGCAUUGUAGCUUUGCCGUUGAAUGCUUAUCAGAGAAAGAAUGCAUUUACUUGUAUUGUUUUUCUGUCUGUGCAUUGUUGGUGGUAAUCCCCAAUGCUUAUAAUUGUCAACGGCAAAGGUUAAGAUGCUGUAUAAGAACUAUGUUUUUAUUUAGUGCUCUAAUAAUAUAAUUCAUCUUGGUCUCAUCUUUUUUCUCAUUUUAACUUAGAUAUCUAUAUAUUUUCGUAAGUGAUUUCUGUAAUAAAUUAAACCCAAAACAUAAACAGGAAAGAUAAAUGUAAAUAAAAAAGGUAAAUUCAAAAAAUAUAUAUACAAUAAAAACAAAAAACAAUUAAAUUUUAUUGACAUGAUUUUUUUUGUAUAUACAACACAAUUGAGAUAAAAUGAACACAACUUUUAUUAUAUAUACGUGACCAAAAAAUCAUGUCAUGACUCAACUUCUCUUAUAUAUAUGGCUCAAUCUAGACUUGUGAUCAACAAAGGACCACAUUAGUAUUUUUAAUAUCUUAGCAUGAUGAUGCAUGUCAUCACAUAAUGAACUUCAUAUCAACAAAUUAUGAUACAUCAAUUUGAUCAAAAUCUCACGUCAAUAUUCUUAACGAUAAAAUUUAAUAGUGUUAAUAUUAAAAAUUUUAAAUUAAUAAAUUAAAAAAGUAUAAUAACUUAAUUUACAUGAAUUAUUAUUCAAGAUUAAAUCCAUAUUGUAUAAUUUUGCAUCUUAGAUUCUUUUUGUUGAAAUGCCAAGUGACAAGCUCCUAUUGAACAAUAACCUUCUACUUCUUGAAACAAAGACGUGAGAAAUGCGUAAUUAAAUGUGUUCCCCAAUGUAGGGAACUUAGGAUUGGGAUAGUUCCAUAUAGCCCUCUUGGUCGCGGUUUCUUUGGUGGCAGGGCGGUUGUGGAGAGUGUGCCUGCAAAUAGUUUUCUGGUAUGGAAACUCAUCAAUUUAUGGCUUUAAUCUACACUCAAUCUUGAUAGCUUGUUUUUCCAUAAAAAAUAAGGGCACCUUUUUGACUGAUUGGCAACUUCUUCUUUAAGAGUAGACAUAUUACCCAAGGUUUCAAGGAGAAAACUUGGACAGAAACAAGAACUUAUAUUUGCAAAUGGAGAAGUUGGCACAAUAUCAUGGAUGUACCCCUGCACAACUAAUUCUUGGCUGGGUUCUUCAUCAAGGGAAUGAUGUAGCACCUAUUCCCGGUUAGUCACAUUCUGUAUGUAUGCUCUUAGAUAGCAGACAAUACAGAUAUUUCAACUACAUCACAUUAGAAUUGACAUAAUUUACAAGUACAUAUCAUAAAUUUGCCUUGUUUGUUAUGUGCAUUAGAAAUAUGACUUUUGACCCUCGGUUACAUGUUCUUGUAGGUACGACCAAGAUCAAAAAUCUUGAUAGCAACAUUGAUUCUCUAACAGUGAAGCUCACAGAAGAAGAUUUAAAGGAGAUCACUGAUGUGGUUCCCAUAAACGAGGUAGCAGGGCCUGGAACGCUGGAUAGUUUUUUUCAGGUCUCAUGGAAAUUCGCUAAUACACCCCCAAAGGAGAAACAAGAUUUUAAGUUAAAGUAAUUAUGGAUGCAAAGCCUGUAGCAAAACAUGAUGCUUUUGGUUAAUGUACUCUCCUGCAACCGAGGCUAUAGAAAGCCUACAAGUUUGUACUGAUUUACUAAGCUUACCUUUAAAAAGGGUUCACUUAUAACCAGGCUACUAGCUGUGCUGUCGAAUGCAUGUGCUUGCUUGGUUUUUCUGUCGUUUCUUAGUUGCCGGCAAUUUUCCAAUGGUUAUUGUAGUUGUUACAACACUGUCUAAGAAGCUAUUUUAAUAAAUAUGCUUUUAUUUAGUGCUAUGAUUUAUUCUUCUUGAUAUUCUUUUUCCUCUCUAUGUAACCUGCUGCAACCAUAAUAACAGAAACCAUUGCAUCUACCGGAAGAAGAAUUUGGCAAAAAAAAAAUAUUUUUUUCAUUGUGACUUCCAUGGUCUGAAGGAAAUAGUAGGAAAUAUAGCAGCUCAUCUUGGCAAUGCAGGGUUAUUUUUUUUAUCUGAUAACAUGACUAUUCUGCAUUUUUGACUAAUUCUUUGCCUUUUGAAAGUAACAGUUCUUGGAACAUAAUUUUCACUGUUUCAACAAAGUAUUCCAAAAGAAUGACAUGUGGGGUGACAUGUUUACUGGCGUCACCAAGUUGAUAGACAAUUCAACUCAAAAUCAAGAUUCUGGAUAUAAGGCUGCUACUAUUUAUGCACAACAAGGACACUUGGCCGUCUAGUAGAUCGUUUAUUAGUUACUGGUUUUUGAGCUGUAAGCUAACAAGAGAAGCCUCAGCUCAAUAACACAACAUAAAAAGGGAACAGAAGAUGGUUGAGGAGCAGAAGAGAAUUCAAAUUCCUAGAAUGAAACUGGGAAAUCAAGGACUUGAGGUUAGAUUUUGUUCUUCUUAAGAGUAGUCAAGAGAAGGGUUGUUAUGAGUUGCAUAUAGAAUGUUUAUGAGGUGAUAAGCCCUGAAUUUUUAUUAAUCUUUACAACCGUUCCUCAGUUUUUGGUUGAACUGCUGAUAUGCAGUAUGUAAGGUACUGGAUAUUCUGAUUCUACUCUCCUAAAAACAUGCUAGGACUCAACUUUUUAAACUCAAUCAGAAUUUAACUUUCCAUCAAGUUCACACGAUUUCUUUCCCAGAACACUAUUUUCUAACACUCUCGUUUCUGAGAAUCCACUGUUUAUGUAGGUUUCCAAGUUGGGGUUUGGCUGCGCGGAACUUUCUGUUGUAGCCUACGGUGAUCCUCUCCCUGAUGAUGUUGGCAUAUCGAUCAUCAAGCAUGCUUUUGAUAGAGGAAUCACUUUCUUCGAUACAUCAGAUAGCUAUGGACCCAAAACUAAUGAAAUACUGGUUGGAAAGGUAACAUGCUUGGUCAAAUUGUCUAAAGUACUUUCAAGUUGAAUUGCAACAGCUUCCUGAUUUUGCUUUUAAAUGGGAAUCCAAACCCUUAAAUAAAUGCAUUUUUGUUUUAUCACAUUGAUAUGAUUCUAAUUGUUACUGCUCUUGAGUUGUUAACGAAAUUCAUGAAUCUCUGAAGCCAAUAUUUCUUUUCUCCAGGCAUUGAAGCAGCUACCGCGAGAGAAGGUGCAGUUAGCCACAAAAUUUGGUAUUGCAAAAAGGGAUGCUACUGGUGUCAUUGUAAAUGGUACUCCUGAAUAUGUCCGCACCUCUGUUGAGGCUAGCCUGAAGCGCCUUGAUGUGGAAUACAUUGAUCUCUACUAUCAGCACAGGGUCGACACCACCACUCCUAUAGAGGAUACUGUAAGAGCUGGAGCAGAAAGCAUCAAAGAUUUAUUUCUUCCAUAGAUUUCCUUAUUUCCAUACUCUCUUAUUAAUUGCGGGGCUAUCAUCUUUAGCUGGUUGAACUUAAGGUUAAGCUAUUUGGAUUUAACUUUCUUUCUUAGAUGGGUGAACUCAAGAAGUUGGUGGAAGAAGGGAAAAUAAAGUACAUUGGUUUAUCUGAAGCUAGCCCCGAAACUAUAAAGAGAGCACAUGCGGCUCAUCCCAUAACUGCUGUACAAAUGGAGUGGUCGCUCUGGACUCGUGACAUUGAGGAAGAAAUAGUCCCCCUUUGCAGGUUUCUUCUUGUAUCUUGAAGCAUUAGAACUAAAAAAACAGUAAAAGUUACUUGAAAUUCAAAGUUCGAACUCUUAACUUGAUAGUCAUUUUCAUUUCCCAAAUUAUACGUUGUUUGAGUACUGGUCUUGAGACUCACCUAUGCAAUCCAAGGCAUGAGAUAUGCCUAUUUAAAUGUCUUCAUUUAUGCAGGCAACUCGGAAUUGGGAUUGUUCCAUACAGCCCUCUUGGUCGUGGUUUCUUUGGUGGCAAAGCAGUUGAUGAAAGUGUGCCUGCAGAUAGUUUUCUGGUAUGGGAACACAUCUAUUAAUGGCUUUAACCUAUCUUUAAUCUUGUAUAAAGACAAGCCUUUCUAACCGGUAGCUUGGUUGACCGAUUGCCAACUUCUACUUUUAAGAGAUUGUUCCCAAGGUUUCAAGGAGAAAACUUUGACAGAAACAAGAUCUUAUAUCUGAAAGUAAAGAAGAUGGCUGAGAAGCAUGGAUGUACCACUGCACAACUUGCACUUGCCUGGGUUCUUCAUCAAGGAAAUGAUGUAGUACCUAUUCCUGGUAAGUCCACAUUCUGUAAUUUUCAACAUCCACUUUCCCCUUCUUGAUAGCCCGCAGAUAUUUCAACCAACAAGGCCCUUUCUUUCUCAUUUUGUAGGAACAACAAAGACAAAAAAUCUUGAUGGCAACAUUGAUUCACUGAGGGUGAAGCUCACAGAAGAAGAUUUACAAGAGAUUUGUGAUGUGAUCCCCAUUAAUGAGGUAGCAGGCGCUCGUAUGCCGGAUGGUUUAAGUCAUCUGACGUGGAAGUUUGCUAACACACCACCAAAGGAUAGCAAGAUUUCAACUUAAAUUAAACUGAACGAUGGAUGCAAAGUCUGCAGCAGAAUAUGAUGUUUUUGGUGAAUGGACUCUCUCCAUCAACGGAAACUAUUGAAAGACUAGAAGUUUGUGUUGAAAAGUUAGUAAGCUUUGGAUACAAUAAUGAAGGGCUGUAGUUGGCAUUGUAGCUUUGCCGUUGAAUGCUUAUCAGAGAAAGAAUGCAUUUACUUGUAUUGUUUUUCUGUCUGUGCUUUGUUGGUAAUAAUCCCCAAUGCUUAUGGUUGUCAACAGCAAAGGUUAAGAUGCUGUAUAAGAACUAUGUUUUUAUUUAGUGCUCUAAUAAUAUAAUUCAUCUUGGUCUCAUCUUUUUUCUCAUUUUAACUUAGAUAUCUAUACAUUUUCGUAAGUGAUUUCUGUAAUAAAUUAAACCUAAAGCAUAAACACAAAAGAUAAAUUAACAAAAUAUAUAUACAUUAAAAAGAGAAAACAACUAAAUUUUAUUGAUGUGAUUUUUUUAGUAUAUACAACACAAUUGAGAUGAAAUAAGUACGACUUUUAUUAUAUACACGUGAUCAAAAAAUCAUGCCAUGACUCAACUUCUCUUAUAUAUAUGGCUCAACCGAAACUCGUGAUCAACAAAUGACCUCGUUAGUAUUUUUAGUAUCUUAGCAUGAUGAAGCAUAUUAGUCACGUAACGAACGUCGUAUAAGCAAUAUAUGAUACAUCAACUUGAUCAAAAUCUCACGUCAAUAUUCUUAACAAUGAAAUUUAAUGGUGUUAAUAUUAAAAAUUUAAGUUAAUAAAUUGGAAAAGUACAAUAACUUAAUUUACAUGAAUUAUUAUUCAAAAUUAAAUCCAUAUUGCAUAAUUUUACAUUUUAGAUUCACCUUUUGUUGAAAUGCCAAGUGACAAGCUCCUAUUGAACAAUAACCUUCUGCCCUUCAGUUAAAAGUUGUUUACCUCUUUCCUUCCCGUCAAUCUCAAGUUUCCAAACCUUUUCCAACUUCCAACACAUUCAUCUUUAGCUGGUUGAACUUAAAGUUAAGCUAUUUGGAUUUAACUUUCUUUCUUAGAUGGGUGAACUCAAGAAGUUGGUGGAAGAAGGGAAAAUAAAGUACAUUGGUUUAUCUGAAGCUAGCCCUGAAACUAUAAAGAGAGCACAUGCGGUUCAUCCCAUAACUGCAGUACAAAUGGAAUGGUCGCUUUGGACUCGUGAAAUUGAGGAAGAAAUAGUCCCCCUUUGCAGGUUUCUGCUUGUAUCUUGAAUCAUUAGAAGUUAGAAAAAGUAAAGGUUACUUGAAAUUCGAAGUUCAAACUCUAAACUAGAUAGUCAUUUUCAUUUCCCAAGUUACAUGUUGUUUGAGUACUGGACUUGAGACUCAAUAAACUGAGGCUAUCAGCAAUUACUCCUUGUACUGCUGCAAGCCAAAGCAUGAGAAAUGCCUAUUUAAAUGUGGUCACCUAUGCAGGCAACUGGGAAUUGGGAUUGUUCCAUACAGCCCUCUUGGUCAUGGUUUCUUUGGUGGCAGAGCAGUUGAGGAAAGUGUGCCCGCAAAUAGUGUUCUGGUACGGGAACUCAUCUAUUUUUGGCUUUAACCUAUCCUUAAUCUUGUCUAAUGACAAGCCUUCAAACUGUUAGCUUGGUUGACCGAUUGCCAACUUCUACAGGGAAUUCUCCCAAGGUUUCAAAGCGAAAACUUGGAAAGAAACAAGAUCUUAUAUCUGAAAGUAAAGAAGUUGGCUGAGAAGCAUGGAUGUACCCCUGCACAACUUGCACUUGCCUGGGUUCUUCAUCAAGGAGAUGAUGUAGUACCUAUUCCUGGUAAGUCCACGUUCUGCAAUUGUCAACAUCCACUAUUAUCUUCUUGAUAGCCUGCAGAUAUUUCAACAAAAAAGACCCUUUUUCACAUUUUGUAGGAACAACCAAGAUCAAAAAUCUUGAUAGCAACAUUGAUUCACU
rnacentral:lncRNA from 1 species